rnacentral:tRNA from 1 species
GUCCUAGUAGUUUAAUAAAAUAUUGACCUUGUAAGUCAAAGAUUGAGAAUUAAUAUUCUCCUAGGAUU